AUCACUUACAGUGGCUCCAGGACUAAAGCAAGAGUCAAGAAAUAUUUGCCUGAAACUGGAGCGGCCUUCAAAUAUAUUUAGAUUUGGCUUAUAAAGAAAAGGUAUGGUGGACUUUUCUAGAAUGGCGGAGCGGCUGCUGAAACUAGCUGUGAGUAUCAAGACUGCACAUCAGAGACUUUUUCAUUUGUACGUCAAACUUGAUCUAAAUUAAAUACUCGAAUGAAUCCCUUUAUUCUGGUGCUGUUGCCUGUUGUUUUUUGUAUUGUUUUAACAUUUUUGAAGUGAGAUUUAUACUGUCUCAAGAGUUACAUUUGUUAGGCAACAGUAGUUCAACCUUACCAACCUAGACACCUUUUCCUCUCUCCUUUUCUAAUCCUCCCCCCUGGCUGCCUCCUCCCAGGUUCCUAUCCAUCUAAUAUAUUCUUCUGUUGGUUUGUACAUUCCUCUCUGAACUUUGUGGCAGAGCUGCUGCAGUUUGGAGACCGGGAGUUCUACAGGGACUGGUGUUUUCAGCAGUAAGUUUCCUGCCAGAGCUGCCUACCAAGUCGCUGCUCUCCCCAGAGGUGGGCUGGUGGAAAUCGAGGCGAUCGCUGUUCUCGGUCCUCUCUCCGACUCCUGACUAGCCGGCCGCAUAACUAACAAGCUGUAGCGCCACCAAGUGUCAUUAUAGAUUCACUGUGGAAGCCUGAUUGUAUUUCCAGAGAACACCUGAAGAGCCACAUUGAAUUUCAACAUAGUCUUUUUCAGUGUUUCAAGAUUUAAAUUUCCAACAGAGCAACAUUCAGUUGUUAAUACCUCACAGCCUGCUCAUUAAACGGAGAGUAGGGAUACAGUAGGACUGGACACAACAUCAAGCCUCUUGGCUUCUGGUUUGAUAACUUCACUCAUUUAAAAAAAAGGAAAAAUGCUGUAACACAUCAGUGUGACAUGUUUGCUUUCAUCCUGCAUCAAAUUAAAACACAGAGAAUAUGAAAAAUGCUGUAACACAUCAGUGUGACAUGUUUGCUUUCAUCCUGCAUCAAAUUAAAACACAGAGA
ensembl:lncRNA